GGAACGCUUCCUCUUGGUGAGGCUGUUGGCCAGGCGGUCGAUGAACGUCGGCCGGUCGGCAGAGGGGUGCAGCAGAGAGUCCGGCACGAUCUCCAGGUCCCGCAUCUCAUCACCUGGCGAGGCAAUGGGAUGCAGCCACUGGGCACGGAUGUGGGGACAUGCACGGACAGCAGGGGGGCUCCGGCUGCGACCCCCCCCACCACUGCACACCCCCAGCACCCACCUUGCUGGCCGGCCAGCGCCUGAGGCUCAGUGUUCAGACUCUGCAGGUAGCUGUGGCAGCGCUCCUUGUGCUCCUCCAGCGUGCUCUGCUGCUUGUAGCUGCGGCCGCAGUAGUUGCACUUGUAGGGCUUGCCGACGGUGGGGGAGGAGACUGCAAAACACACCGAUGGAAAUCAGGCCGUGAGGACGUGCAGGUGGCCACCGAGCCACACACACUGAGCUCCAGGCUGGCUCUGCUCUGGCACCUCUGUACAGCACAUCAUCUGAGAUGAAAGCUGCUGAGUCCCUCGUGGGAAUGGUGUGAGAUCCAAAUGGCUUUGUUAAGGGGUGGAGGGGAGAGCUGCGCUGCUGCCAUCCGCCGGGCAGGGCGAGCGCCCGGCUCUCACCUGUGAAAUCCACAUUAAACGAAGGUUUUCCCGGUAAUUAGCUCCCA